GGACGAACGCUGGCGGCGUGCUUAACACAUGCAAGUGGAGCGACGAACCAGGCUUCGGCCUGGGGCAAAGCCGCGAACGGGUGAGUAACACGUGGGUAACGUGCCCCGAUGACCGGGACAACCCGAGGAAACUCGGGCUAAUACCGGAUGUGCUGUGCAGCCACGAGGCAGCACAGCAAAGAAGCUUCGGCCUCCGCAUUGGGAGCGGCCCGCGGCCCAUUAGCUUGUUGGUGAGGUAACGGCUCACCAAGGCCACGAUGGGUAGCUGGUCUGAGAGGACGAUCAGCCACACUGGGACUGAGACACGGCCCAGACUCCUACGGGAGGCAGCAGU
rnacentral:rRNA from 1 species